rnacentral:tRNA from 1 species
UAGAGUGUAGCUUAUUGGUAGAAUGUACACCUGGCAUGUGUGAGGCACUGGGUUCAAUCCCCAGCACCAAAA